rnacentral:rRNA from 1 species
UAUACAUGCAAGUCGAGCGAACAGACGAGGAGCUUGCUCCUUUGACGUUAGCGGCGGACGGGUGAGUAACACGUGGGUAACCUACCUAUAAGACUGGGAUAACUUCGGGAAACCGGAGCUAAUACCGGAUAAUAUUUCGAACCGCAUGGUUCGAUAGUGAAAGAUGGCUYUGCUAUCACUUAUAGAUGGACCUGCGCCGUAUUAGCUAGUUGGUAAGGUAACGGCUUACCAAGGCAACGAUACGUAGCCGACCUGAGAGGGUGAUCGGCCACACUGGAACUGAGACACGGUCCAGACUCCUACGGGAGGCAGCAGUAGGGAAUCUUCCGCAAUGGGCGAAAGCCUGACGGAGCAACGCCGCGUGAGUGAUGAAGGUCUUCGGAUCGUAAAACUCUGUUAUUAGGGAAGAACAAACGUGUAAGUAACUGUGCACGUCUUGACGGUACCUAAUCAGAAAGCCACGGCUAACUACGUGCCAGCAGCCGCGGUAAUACGUAGGUGGCAAGCGUUAUCCGGAAUUAUUGGGCGUAAAGCGCGCGUAGGCGGUUUUUUAAGUCUGAUGUGAAAGCCCACGGCUCAACCGUGGAGGGUCAUUGGAAACUGGAAAACUUGAGUGCAGAAGAGGAAAGUGGAAUUCCAUGUGUAGCGGUGAAAUGCGCAGAGAUAUGGAGGAACACCAGUGGCGAAGCGACUUUCUGGUCUGUAACUGACGCUGAUGUGCGAAGCGUGGGGAUCAAACAGGAUUAGAUA